rnacentral:rRNA from 1 species
UGGGGAAUUUUGGACAAUGGGCGCAAGCGUGAUCCAGCCAUGCCGCGUGUCUGAAGAAGGCCUUCGGGUUGUAAAGGACUUUUGUCAGGGAAGAAAAGGCUGUUGCUAAUAUCGACAGCUGAUGACGGUACCUGAAGAAUAAGCACCGGCUAACUACGUGCCAGCAGCCGCGGUAAUACGUAGGGUGCGAGCGUUAAUCGGAAUUACUGGGCGUAAAGCGAGCGCAGACGGUUACUUAAGCAGGAUGUGAAAUCCCCGGGCUCAACCUGGGAACUGCGUUCUGAACUGGGUGACUAGAGUGUGUCAGAGGGAGGUAGAAUUCCACGUGUAGCAGUGAAAUGCGUAGAGAUGUGGAGGAAUACCGAUGGCGAAGGCAGCCUCCAGGGAUAACACUGACGUUCAUGCUCGAAAGCGUGGGUAGCAAACAGGAUUAGAUACCCUGGUAGUCCACGCCCUAAACGAUGUCAAUUAGCUGUUGGGCAACUUGAUUGCUUAGUAGCGUAGCUAACGCGUGAAAUUGACCGCCUGGGGAGUACGGUCGCAAGAUUA